rnacentral:misc_RNA from 1 species
CACACACACACACACACACACACACACACACACACACACACACGGGCAGCGUGUGCCCGGAGCGGCCCGUCAGUUUGGGCAGAGCCACAGUGAGGUGAGGGCCAUCCUCGUGGGCACCCAGGCCAGUGAUGAAGCGGUGCCACACUGAAGCGGUGCCACAGUGAAGCGGUGCCACAGUGAAGCAGUGCCACAGUGAAGCAGUGCCACAGUGAAGCAGUGCCACAGUGAGGGGACACAUAAUGAGACAUGAAGCUGGUGCCCCAAAUUAGUGACUCUUGAGGGCACACAGCACUAACACUUUCUUCAAUAACACGGCACUCGGGUCACCAUGGCAUGUUAAAUCCUUCUCUCCCACACACACACACACACACACACACACACACACACACACACACACACACACACACACACACACACACACACACACACACACACACACACACCAACUACACCCAACUUGACACCAAACAUCUCAAAUGAAUCACAAUCUCGUAUUUGCUGGUGUAGUCUAUCGCGGCUCAAACUACCAUACAACUCGGUGCUCUGUUAUGAUAACUACCGAUAGACAGCACGAGCUACAGGUCCUAUGAUAAACGAUAGUUAACCGCCUCAGACUACCCCACAACUCGUUGUGUGUUAACUAUAGACUGUCCCGAGUGCCACUGGUCCUAUGAUAAACGAUACUAAGUGACUUGAGACAACAUGAGCACCUGAGGACAAGUUGAACACACAAUCCAACUCUUCUCGCACCAUCGCGAAUUAGCAAAUCCAUGAUGUGUCAGCACUAACAUCAGUGUUCCCUGCUCCCUGCGGCAGACAUGACCACCAACGCCAUACGAGGCAUCAGGAGGAAGAAGUCAUCUUUAUCAGAGGUGAAGAUCGCUGUGCUGGGCGCCCCGGGGGUCGGCAAGAGUGCUCUGAUCGUCAGAUUUCUCACUAAGAGAUAUAUUGGGGAAUACGACCACCAGGCAGAACAGAGGUACAGGAACGAGAUCCUGGUGGAUGGGGAGCCCGUCCUGUUUGAGAUCCUGGACACCUGUAACAAGAACAGCGAGGCGGUGCCGUCGCAAGAGACCAUCAGCUGGGCGGACGGGUUCCUGCUCGUGUACUCCAUUACUGACCGUCACAGCUUCAACUGGGUCAAGAGGGUGCGACUCCACAUCUCCGAGAGGAAGGCCAGUGGGCGUGCGGGCGGCCUGGGCGGCAGUGCCACCCUCACGCCCACGCCGCACACACCUGGGGGCGGCGUGGGAGGGGAUGUGUCUCCCACGCUAGGUCCCCCCAUGGUCCUGCUAGCUAACAAGGCAGAUAUGGUUCACCUUCGGCAGGUCUCCACAGAGGAAGGGGAGAUCCUGGCGAAGGACGUGGAGUGCUAUUUUAGCGAAGUAGCAGCAUCGGAACAUGUGUUGCAGGUGGCUACCGCCUUCCACGAGGUCUUCAAGGAGGUGCAGAACGUCCGCAAGAGGAGCAAGACGUCGCUGCUGGACCGCGUCCUGGGCACCAAGGCCACCAGGAUCUACGUCCGAGGCAAGAGUGACUCGGCGCUGCCCAAGGACUGACUAUUGAAGCUCUUGUUGUAGGACUUCGAGCGGCCUGGUCCCUGAAGUCAGUGGGUCCUUCGGCACGGGAACUCACCGUCCUCAAUGUUCAUUUGUAUCGGUUGUUGCUGGUCCUUGGCUGACUGGAAGUGUUGGUGGCGGUAGUUGUAACUCCUGGGUUGUGGUACAAGGCUGGAGGUGGUGGUAGAUAUAACUCCUGGGUUGUGGUACAAGGUCUGGAGGCGGUGGUAGAUAUAACUCCUGGGUUGUGGUACAAGGUCUGGAGGUGGUGGUACAUAACUCCUGGGUUGUGGUACAAGGCUGGAGGUGGUGGUAGACAUAACUCCUGGGUUGUGGUACAAGGCUGGAGGUGGUGGUAGACAUAACUCCUGGGUUGUGGUACAAGGUCUGGAGGUGGUGGUAGAUAUAACUCCUGGGUUGUGGUACAAGGCUGGAGGUGGUGGUAGACAUAACUCCUGGAUUGCAAGGCUUCACAUAUACCCUGGUAACUGCAGCACAUGUAUGCACAUGUAGAGGUCUUCAUGAGCAGUACGAGGACUAUAAUCUAUUGGUCCUGGGUUCGAUCCCCGGCCGGGCCACACGUUGCUCCCCCUCACACAAUUGUUCUCCCAGGGUGAACAUUUGUGACUGUAAGCCUUCCCAGGCCUCCCUGGGGUUGGUAAGGUGCGUUGAUACACACACACACACACACACACACACACACACACACACACACACACACACACACACACACACACACACACACACACAGUGUACACCACCAAUCCCUCUCUUAAUUGACCAACAUAUAAUUACUAUUGUGUGUUUUCAUUGUUAAAU